rnacentral:lncRNA from 1 species
UGCCUGGUGCUUAUCAAGCAUUGGAACUGUCAUUCAAUAUGUGAUGAGUCGAGUGUACCUUCAAUAGGUGAUCAAGUGAGCCGAACCACACUCGGGCUUGGUCAUCUAUUAGUAGAUUAUACGGAAUCCUAUCAUUUAAUGGUUGGACCUAACCAAGAUUUUUGGUGGAGGCGCCACACGCCUGCUGAAGAGACUGGGGCAAACUUAUCACUAGAAGUUAUUUGGUGAAACAAUUGGUUCAAAACCUACCAAUGGUGCAUAUGGGUUGACCGAGUCACACUCGGAUCCAUAUGUGAUCUAUUGGGUUCUAGUGCCCACUAAAGAUUUAAGUGUAAUUUUUUGAAUUUGAGAUAGAGCUACAAAUUUGUAUAAAAUAGUGGGAGAACCUUUAGACUAAAGUCCAAGUCUUUAGGAUUUUGUCAAUUCAUAUACUGAUAGUUGAUUUUCUUUCUAAUGCAGAAAUGGCCACUAUGUGGAGUGAUUGAUUAAAACCCCAUUUGAUUUUGAUGAGCUCAAAGCAUUUGA